UCUUGGUCAUUUAGAGGAAGUAAAAGUCGUAACAAGGUUUCCGUAGGUGAACCUGCGGAAGGAUCAUUAUCGUACAACAGGAGGUGCCGAGGUUAUCGCUGACCCUAGGUCGUGCACGCCUCGAGCAUUCUUACUCCUCAUCCACUUCACCCCUUGUGCAUCCCCGCGUGGGCUCUCUCGAAAGAGAGAGCCGGCGUCAUUACACAAACACAAAGUAGCAGUAGAAUGUUCUUUGCAUUUGUAUGCAGUUAAUACAACUUUCAGCAACGGAUCUCUUGGCUCUCGCAUCGAUGAAGAACGCAGCGAAAUGCGAUAAGUAAUGUGAAUUGCAGAAUUCAGUGAAUCAUCGAAUCUUUGAACGCACCUUGCACUCCUUGGUAUUCCGAGGAGUAUGCCUGUUUGAGUGUCAUGAAAUCAUCAACCUCAUAGUUUUAUUACCCUGAGGCUUGGACUUGGAAGCUGCUGGCUUAUGUCGGCUCUUCUUAAAUAUAUUAGCUGCUUGUCCGUGAGUUGGCUCAGAGUGUGAUAAGUAUCUACACUUGGUGGCUGCUCGCAUUGGAUGUGGCUUCUAAUCGUCUUCGGACAAUUUUUUAAGAUCUGACCUCAAAUCAGGUAGGACUACCCGCUGAACUUAAGCAUAUCAAUAAGCGGAGGAA
rnacentral:rRNA from 1 species